UGGAGUUGUUGCUGGCCUCUAGGGGCAUGUGCACGCUUCACUAGUCUUUCAACCACCUGUGAACUUUUGAUAGAUCUGUGAAGUCGUCCUUCAAGUCGUCAGACUUGGUUUGCUGGGAUUUAAACGUCUCGGUGUGACAACGCAGUCUAUUUACUUAACACACCCCAAAUGUAUGUCUACGAAUGUCAUUUAAUGGGCCUUGUGCCUAUAAACCAUAAUACAACUUUCAACAACGGAUCUCUUGGCUCUCGCAUCGAUGAAGAACGCAGCGAAAUGCGAUAAGUAAUGUGAAUUGCAGAAUUCAGUGAAUCAUCGAAUCUUUGAACGCACCUUGCGCCCCUUGGUAUUCCGAGGGGCAUGCCUGUUUGAGUGUCAUUAAAUUCUCAAACUCACAUUUAUUUGUGAUGUUUGGAUUGUUGGGGGUUGCUGGCUGUAACAAGUCGGCUCCUCUUAAAUGCAUUAGCAGGACUUCUCAUUGCCUCUGCGCAUGAUGUGAUAAUUAUCACUCAUCAAUAGCACGCAUGAAUAGAGUCCAGCUCUCUAAUCGUCCGCAAGGACAAUUUGACAAUUUGACCUCAAAUCAGGUAGGACUACCCGCUGAACGUAAUCAUAUCAAUA
rnacentral:rRNA from 1 species